AUUGAACGCUGGCGGCAGGCCUAACACAUGCAAGUCGAACGGUAACAGGAAGAAGCUUGCUUCUUUGCUGACGAGUGGCGGACGGGUGAGUAAUGUCUGGGAAACUGCCUGAUGGAAGGGGAUAACUACUGGAAACGGUAGCUAAUACCGCAUAACGUCGCAAGACCAAAGAGGGGGACCUUCGGGCCUCUUGCCAUCGGAUGUGCCCAGAUGGGAUUAGCUAGUAGGUGGGGUAACGGCUCACCUAGGCGACGAUCCCUAGCUGGUCUGAGAGGAUGACCAGCCACACUGGAACUGAGACACGGUCCAGACUCCUACGGGAGGCAGCAGUGGGGAAUAUUGCACAAUGGGCGCAAGCCUGAUGCAGCCAUGCCGCGUGUAUGAAGAAGGCCUUCGGGUUGUAAAGUACUUUCAGCGGGGAGGAAGGGAGUAAAGUUAAUACCUUUGCUCAUUGACGUUACCCGCAGAAGAAGCACCGGCUAACUCCGUG
rnacentral:rRNA from 1 species